rnacentral:tRNA from 1 species
CGGGGCAUGGCGCAGCCUGGCUAGCGUGCUUGCAUGGGGUGCAAGAGGUCGUGGGUUCAAAUCCCGCUACCCCGA